rnacentral:rRNA from 1 species
GAUGAACGCUAGCGGCAGGCCUAAUACAUGCAAGUCGGACGGGAUCCAUCGGAGAGCUUGCUCGAAGAUGGUGAGAGUGGCGCACGGGUGCGUAACGCGUGAGCAACCUACCUCUAUCAGGGGGAUAGCCUCUCGAAAGAGAGAUUAACACCGCAUAAUAUAAUCUUCCGGCAUCGUUAGAUUAUUAAAUAUUUAUAGGAUAGAGAUGGGCUCGCGUGACAUCAGCUAGUUGGUAAGGUAACGGCUUACCAAGGCGACGAUGUCUAGGGGCUCUGAGAGGAGAAUCCCCCACACUGGUACUGAGACACGGACCAGACUCCUACGGGAGGCAGCAGUAAGGAAUAUUGGUCAAUGGGCGGAAGCCUGAACCAGCCAUGCCGCGUGCAGGACGACUGCCCUAUGGGUUGUAAACUGCUUUUGUCCAGGAAUAAACCUAAAUACGUGUAUUUAGCUGAAUGUAUUGGAAGAAUAAGGAUCGGCUAACUCCGUGCCAGCAGCCGCGGUAAUAC